GAUGAACGCUGGCGGCGUGCUUAACACAUGCCAGUCGAACGAUGAAGCCCAGCUUGCUGGGUGGAUUAGUGGCGAACGGGUGAGUAACACGUGAGUAACCUGCCCUUGACUCUGGGAUAAGCGCUGGAAACGGCGUCUAAUACCGGAUACGAGCUUCCACCGCAUGGUGAGUUGCUGGAAAGAAUUUCGGUCAAGGAUGGACUCGCGGCCUAUCAGGUAGUUGGUGAGGUAACGGCUCACCAAGCCGACGACGGGUAGCCGGCCUGAGAGGGUGACCGGCCACACUGGGACUGAGACACGGCCCAGACUCCUACGGGAGGCAGCAGUGGGGAAUAUUGCACAAUGGGCGCAAGCCUGAUGCAGCAACGCCGCGUGAGGGACGAAGGCCUUCGGGUCGUAAACCUCUUUUAGCAGGGAAGAAGCGAAAGUGACGGUACCUGCAGAAAAAGCACCGGCUAACUACGUG
rnacentral:rRNA from 1 species